GCCGUGAUCGUCUAGUGGUUAGGACCCUACGUUGUGUGUACGUCGUAGUAACCCAGGUUCGAAUCCUGGUCACGGCA
rnacentral:tRNA from 1 species